GAAUUUUCUGGGAAAUUUUUAGUAAAUUUUGGAGGAAUAAAGCAUCUAUAUGUACUUUCUUUGAGCUUUAAUAAGCUGGGAAGUGGGGAGCCUGAUGAAUUCCAUUUUCUCCACUCGUUGACCAAUUGUACCAAUUUGUACGCAUUGGAUUUAGUUGCUAAUAGUUUUGAAGGGUUCUUGCCCAAUGUUUUAGCCAAUCUUUCUGUAGGACUUGCAUUUCUUGGUGUAGGA
rnacentral:misc_RNA from 1 species